AUUCUGAGUUCAUAAGUAUGCGGAACUUCAUACAAGCAGCCCUUGAAAGUCAAUUUCUGCAGAUUUUACUGGUUGUUCUUAGUGACAUUGACAUCUCACUGUGAAAACUUUCACGCUGUUGGACUACACACACUUGGCCUUGGAGAUAUCAAUCUCUGACUGUAAAGAUAAACAUGAAAGCUUGAUGGGACUCUUAAGAUCACUGAGUGGAAAAUCAGGAAACUGUGUGUGAAAUUGGAAGGUGACCAAGAUCUCUGUAGAUGUGAGGAGGCACAAAAGGGACAGUUUAUUCUUUUGAAGUUGCUGGAACUGCUUGCAGUAAGAAAUAAAAGCUGUGCGUCAAUCAAGAAAACUAUUUCAAUUGUUCAGAACAUGCUGCUAAACUAACCUUUGCAGCUACAUUUUUAGA